CUUCCGCGGUUUGCAGUGGUCUGGUAGUACGAGGCUCGGCAGUCAAUGGACAUCUUGCAACCGCGAUUUUGACAUAAACGAAGUGCUGUCUUUUUGCGCACCUUUCGAGCAGUAAUCUGCGCCGUUUCUUGAAAGGGGGCCUCAGUUUUUGUCGUCUGCUGAACGUGGUUUUCUCGGCACAAAUCAACUUCAAUAAAUUAGACAACAGGUGUAUACAUUGGAUAUGCAUUUUGGCAACUGGCAUUAUAUUUCAAACUAGGCAUUGGUUGUUAUAUGGGGAGAAGUCUAACAGAAGGCCUAUCAGACAGGUGCCAACUGGUUCUUCUAAAGGCAGGAAAGUCUGAGAGACUUGGCCAAAGUCAGGGGUAACGGCAUACUUAAUACUUAAAUGUUACAUGGAACUUAAAUGCUGUUAGAAUGGCUGUCAUUGGCAGCUUAAUUUUUUUGUACAGUCUGAAUUGCCUUUAGAAUUCUCAUGGUAUAUGUUUGUCAUGAUAUAUAUCAUUGGCUGAGUGACAGUGUUCAUUGUAUAUCUAUUGUUGUACUUUGUUCCUUGAGAUUGGCAUUCUUUCUGUUUGUGCCAAAAUUGCUUACAUGUAUAUAAUAGGCAAUGGCUGCAGUUUCUCUCCUUUUUAGAGCACUAAAAUAGAUGUAUAAUGAUUUGUAUGUACUUCACACUUUAAAGCAAACGUAUACGUAUGGAUGUAUCACAUUGGAAAUCUUUGGCAAACUUGUCUGUUAAAUUGGUUGUCGUAACUCUCUGUAAGUUAUGUUUAUAAACAUUGAACAGUUAGUUCUAGUUUGUAACUUGCCAUAACUGUUUUGCAGUCUUUGGGUCAAGAGUCCUAUAAAUUGUGCAUUUAUGUAUGUACUGGUAGUAAUUUUAUUGUGAGAUUGACAAAUGGUAUCCUGCUUAUUUGAUGCACGUAUGGUUGGACCGUACAUGCACUAGAAAUUAGAAUUUGAGUUUUAAUUAAGAAAGGC